UACGUAGGGUCCGAGCGUUGUCCGGAAUUAUUGGGCGUAAAGGGCUCGUAGGCGGUUCGUCACGUCGGGAGUGAAAACUCGGAGCUUAACUCCGAGCCUGCUUCCGAUACGGGCAGACUAGAGGUAGGCAGGGGAGAGCGGAACUCCUGGUGUAGCGGUGGAAUGCGCAGAUAUCAGGAAGAACACCGGUGGCGAAGGCGGCUCCCUGGGCCUUACCUGACGCUGAGGAGCGAAAGCGUGGGUAGCGAACAGG
rnacentral:rRNA from 1 species